AGUGAACGCUGGCGGUAGGCCUAACACAUGCAAGUCGAACGGCAGCACAGUAAGAGCUUGCUCUUACGGGUGGCGAGUGGCGGACGGGUGAGGAAUACAUCGGAAUCUACUUUUUCGUGGGGGAUAACGUAGGGAAACUUACGCUAAUACCGCAUACGACCUACGGGUGAAAGCAGGGGAUCUUCGGACCUUGCGCGUUUGUAUGAGCCGAUGUCGGAUUAGCUAGUUGGCGGGGUAAAGGCCCACUAAGGUGACGAUCCGUAGCUGGUCUGAGAGGAUGAUCAGCCAAACGGGAACUGAGACACGGUCCAGACUCCUACGGGAGGCAGCAGUGGGGAAUAUUGGACAAUGGGCGCAAGCCUGAUCCAGCAAUACCGCGUGGGUGAAGAAGGCCUUCGGGUUGUAAAGCCCUUUUGUUGGGAAAGAAAAGCAGCAGGUUAAUACCCCGCUGUUCUGACGGUACCCAAAGAAUAAGCACCGGCUAACUUCGUG
rnacentral:rRNA from 1 species